rnacentral:lncRNA from 1 species
UCAGUGCGGUCGACUUGACUAAAGUUUGGUCGAGGGAGUUCUUGUCAGCUGAGACUCGCGGAAGCCUCAGGUGCGCUGCCGGAUCCAGGCUUCCGCGGCCAGGGGGAAUCAGGAUGAAGAGGAGAUAGCUUUUCGUAGCCUGUCGCUUUCUGGGCUACAUCUCCCAGAGGCCUCUAGGCCUAGUGCUCCUUCCCGCGAGAACUAGACCUUCUCCUGAGGAGUGGACGGGAUUUUCUGACGGGUUGGGGCAAACGGCCUCAGGGUGCUGUGCGAGGUGCUGGACUCUAUUUGUUUCAAGUAGAGUGGAGCGGUGCUGACCAGACCGGAGGAGUCGUAGAGUCUUCCAGAGUGGAGUAAAGAAUGGCUGUUGAACAUCCACAAGGCACCUGCAAGAUACAGAAAUGGCAUUUAACACCCAUUUGUGCAAAUAAUUAUAAAGACCGAUGUAAGGAAUACCCAGGUCAAGAAAAGAAUACAGCCAUCUCUAAAGCAGCCUCUGAUGUACCCCUCCACAAUCACAAACAAUUAUGCUCUUCUGGUGAUAACCACUGUGAUCAUUUCUUUGUCUUUCAUUAGAGCUUUGAUAUGAAUUCCAAAACCACAUAGAUUUAGUUUUUGUCUGUUUUCUAUCUUUGUAUGAAUAGACAUUCUUUUGUGUCUUUUUUCAUGAAAAACGUUUGUGAGCUUCAUUCAUAUUUCCUAUAACUACAGUUCAUUUUUUUCCAUUGCUCUCUCUAUACUAUCUUGUAUAAUAGUAUCAGUUUACUACUUAUCUAUUCUACUCUUCAUGGACAUUUGACUUGCUUCUAGUUUUUGGCUGC